AGAAGUUAAAUACAUCCAUGGUAAAAAAAAUAAUAAAACAAGAAAACUAAGGAACAAAAGAAACAGAAAAGCAAGAUAAAGAAAUAGAUCGAUUCAAGGAGUACCAGAGCAGGAACUUGGAGACACCAAACUUUGGAGGACAACAACAAUUAUGAAGAGCAUGGUUGCUUGUUUCAAAGUGAACAAGGAAAAUUUUCCCAGCUUAUAGAUAUUGACUUGAUUCCUCACCUGCUUAUUGAUGGCCCUAGAAGACCAGAGCCACGUGAAGUCAUGGCCCUUAACCACCACCU